rnacentral:rRNA from 1 species
CUCCAGAGUUUGAUCAUGGCUCAGGAUGAACGCUGGCGGCGUGCUUAACACAUGCAAGUCGAACGAUGACUUCUGUGCUUGCACAGAAUGAUUAGUGGCGAACGGGUGAGUAACACGUGAGUAACCUGCCCUUAACUUCGGGAUAAGCCUGGGAAACCGGGUCUAAUACCGGAUACGACCUCCUGGCGCAUGCCAUGGUGGUGGAAAGCUUUAGCGGUUUUGGAUGGACUCGCGGCCUAUCAGCUUGUUGGUUGGGGUAAUGGCCCACCAAGGCGACGACGGGUAGCCGGCCUGAGAGGGUGACCGGCCACACUGGGACUGAGACACGGCCCAGACUCCUACGGGAGGCAGCAGUGGGGAAUAUUGCACAAUGGGCGAAAGCCUGAUGCAGCGACGCCGCGUGAGGGAUGACGGCCUUCGGGUUGUAAACCUCUUUCAGCAGGGAAGAAGCGAAAGUGACGGUACCUGCAGAAGAAGCGC